rnacentral:rRNA from 1 species
GGGGGUGGGGGGGGGGGGGGGGGGGGGGGGGUGGGGGGGCGGGGGCAGAGGGAGGGCUGGCUGGUGCGGGGGGCGGGGGGCGGGAGGGGGGGGGAUACGUCCGAGUCUGGUCUUGCGGUGGGGCGCACGUAGGUGGGCUUACUGUAAUGACGCCACGCAGCUACGGGUGAAGACCCGGGCUUCUCAGACCUUGUGCGGUUGAGUGUGCCGAUGUCGGAUUCGCUAGUUUGCGGGGUUACGGACACCCAAGGCGACGAUCCGUACCUGGUCUGAGAGGAUGAUCAUCCACACUGGAACUGAUACACGCUCCAGACUCCUACGGGAGGCAGCAGUGGGGAAUAUUGGACAAUGGGCGCAAGCCUGAUCCAGCCAUCCCGCGUGGGUGAAGAAGGCCUUCGGGUUGUAAAGCCCUUUUGUUGGGAAAGAAAAGCAGCAGGUUAAUACCCCGCUGUUCUGACGGUACCAAAAGAAUAAGCACCGGCUAACUUCGUG